rnacentral:lncRNA from 1 species
UUUCGAAAUACAGUAGCAUAAGGAGCAGGGUAUUGACUUCCAGGAGUCCCCAGAUCCUUGAAGGCCUUAAAAAAAAGCCAAAAUACACACGGGGAAAUCAUGCAACCCAUUGCAGUGCCAAUUAGUUGGCUCACAAACAUUGACCGUGGUGAAGAAAGGGUCAAAUAACCAGUCUUGAAAUCUUGAGAUAGGUCAGAGGCUGUGGAGACAAUAUUCAUCAUGACUCCACAGGCCGCUAGUCCUGCAAGAACUCCACCAUGAGAGGCACCAGCCCAUGCCCCAAUUACAAAAAUUGCAAGCGUCCCAUAGGUAGAAGCAAGGGACCAAUCAGUGAGUCCACAACCAUAAGCAUUACAGAAUGCAAGGGCUGGAGCAAAGAUGUAGAUAACCAAUAUGUAAUACCAUUUUAGUUCAGGAAAUAUAUGCGGAACGGUGGUUGUAGAAAUGGAAGCAAUUGUGACAUAACCUGCAACAGCAAACCAUGUUGGAAUUUGAUCUUUGAGAAAGAGGUGGGUGCGACGUUGCUCAUCAUAGGAGAUCCUGGAUGUCUCGGGAGAGGAACGGUCAGCAACAGGCAGAGCACCAGUUGCAUCUCUCCCACGAAGUUGAAAAAACAAUGCAGCGAGUGUUCGGCUUAGAACCUUGAAGAAGUUGUACAGACCGUCACCCAAGAUCAAGGCAGUGGCAAUAAAUACCUGUGUUCAAUGCAUAAGCGUUGGUAUGAAAGAAAAGGCUUCAAGAAAAUGUUAAAAAUCAUGUAAUGGGCAUUCUUGUCACCUUAACCUUGUUAGAAAACUUACCUUGUAACCUUGGAGGCCAUGUAAGCUGCCUGGUUUGAGGUCUGCUGGAUACCAGUCACCCUUUUUUGUAUCUAUGAGAGGCCACAUCAGACCCCAGGAAAGAAUUCCUCCAAGCAAUACUGAUAUGUUUAUGAUAUAUGGGCAAAUCAUUCCAACUCCAACAUAUGUUGCUGAGAAAUCAAAGAAAAAUCUGUACAUGUAACAAGAACAUUAUUAGUCAAAGAUACCCCAACGAAUUUGAAACAGAAUGCCAUAACAAAUGGAACUACAUUCAACAAGAAGAGAGGAUUUUGGAAGAUUGAGUAAUGUUUUUACUUGUUUUCAUGUGCUUUAAGACCAAGUGAGGGGAACUCAGCGAAUCCACAACCAUCUCCUGCAGUGUAGAACCAUUGAAAGAAACCCCACAAGAAGCUGAAUGAGAAGAACUUGCCCAACACUCUCACUUGUUUCCUGUAACAGUAGAAUAACAAAGUUCGAUACCCUUACAUGUCAAAUGAUCAUCCAUAUAAAUGCAUGAGGUCUGAUAAUGCCUUACUUUGCUAGCUUGGCUCCUGCAGGAGUGUGGAAGCUGUUGAUGAGAUGCGCAGUUGCAGUGCCACUUGGAUAUGUCAAUUUGAAGUCUAUAAUCAUGACCUGGAAAUAACCAGGGUAAGAAUGAGGAUUAGAUUUUGGCAAAAUCAAUACACUAGGCAAAAAUGUAAAAUGCAGAGAAAAGUUUUAUAUUUCCUAUAAUCAUAUAAAGAAAUUGAAUGCUGAUGCAGGUUGUAAAGUCUACCUUUCGAAGAGGCACCACCGAAAAGAGUCCAAGAAAGCUAACAACAAACAAAAAGCCAAUCAUCCAAGACAGAGAUGGAUUUUUAAAGGCAUCACUAUCUUCAGUUAAUUGUUUGGCCACGGUUUCACUCAUUCCAAACAGAUAACUCCCAAAGCCUCCUAUUAUAAGGAAACAAGGAAAAAAUUAUAGAAUGGAAACCAUUAGUACAAAAAUCAACAAGUUUAAUAGUAUCAUAAGCAUAAUCACAAAUUAGCCGUUUCAUUACAAUAAUUAAUUCAGUUUCGAAACAAGUUUGGCAAGUAUUCAGGCUUUUCUUGACUAUUUGGAUAAGUUAGAAAUAUAAUGUAUUCAUCUUGACAUUAUGUUAAUGAUUCACAGUUAAAGAAAAGGUUUGAUUAAUAACUCAAGCUCACAACUAGCAUUCUAGAAACAGAUAUUAUUCACAUUUUCCUUUCUUUUACUGAUGGAGAAGACUUCUUUUUCCACAAAUCAGAAUAUUGUUAUAAGACUUCCUGAUAUAAAUCUGAACUUAGCAAGUCAUCCAUAUCCAGAGCAUAUGAAUUGAAUUGUCAAAAAAGUAUCUGUCAAGUGACAUACCAGCUGCACCCCUAACAUUAUCACACUCCAGGAGACAGAGAUAGAUGUGUUCAUGUCUCUAAUGGUAAGUUCAAGUGUUGAUUAGUUUAGUAAAACUUCACAAGUGGUAGUCAUAAAGCCUCAAUUUUGAUUUGUCUCUCAAAGACUUUAGGCAGUAAGAGAUUCUUUGUCUUCAAGGAUCAUGCAAAUCUACUCACAUCUGAGAUAAAAGGGAUCCAGAGAGAGAAAAAUGGUUGCCUUAUCAUGUAAUCUAGCAAUUAGAAGAUGGAAAUCUUGACAUUGAAUUUUAGUAACUACUGUAAGUUUGCAACCUUUAAGAACAGAAACAAAACCAAAUGCACAGAAAUAUUAAUAUCUUGAUCAAAGAAACCUAGAUAUCUCCUAAAAUUCGAAAGAAAAGAGAAAGAAAAUUGAAUUUCAAAAUAAUUAAGAGAGAUGAAAUGAAAAUUAAUGGAAGUAAACAGUACAGAAAGUAUACCACUAAAGGCAAUGCCAGAGGAGGCAACCACGCAAGUCUGUAUUACAGUGUUCUCUUGCCUCGUAAAGGGUUGCUUGAAAAGUCCAGACUUUUCAAGAAACUUUGUCCAGGUCUUGAUAAAAAAGAAGCCCAGAAGGCCAGCAGAGACAUUGAGGGAAGGUAUGAUACCAGUUGUAAGAUUGAGCUUCAUUACUAUGACGCAGAACAAAAUGCUCAACACGAAGCUCACCACAAGGGCCCUCAGUGUCAGCUGAUUCCUCCAUGAUGGCACAUCUUGGUUCUCAAAUAUUCUUUCCACUGACAACUCUUCUUCUUGUUCCUCUUUCUUGUCCUUCUUUCUGUGAUCAUGAUCAUCCUCCAAAUCAUGAUCAUUCUCUACCUUGGCGUCGUCUCUUUCAUUACGUUCCAUUUUAUUUUCUUAAAAGAAUGAUUCUUUAUGGAGACGAAGAGAGUUGGGAGUGUGUUUAAUAAGUGGUUGUGAUUAUUGCUCAACGCAUCACAAGCGAAUUGAAGACGAUGAAUAUGAGGAGUUAAAAGUUAAAACGGGUUGUUGUAGUGAGUUUAACCUGUCUGUUUUUUUAGGUUAUUUUUUUUAAUUUUAAAUUAAUUUUUUUUUAAUUUUUUGAAUUAUUUUAAUAUAUUAAUAUUAAAAAUAAAUUUUAAAAUAUAAAAAAUAUAUUAUUUUAAUAUUUUUUAUCGAAAAUUAUUUUAAAAAAUAAUUAUUAUUAUAUUUUUAAACACUCUUUAAAAUAACAAAAUGACUCUAAAUGAAAUGUGUUUUAGUUAAGUUUGUAAUUUUUAUAUAUGUAAUCUGUAGGUACUUUUAAAGAAUUAGACUAGAAAUAUAAUAGAAAUUAUUUUUAAAAUAAUCUAAAAAUAUGUUUUUAAUAUUUUUUUGAAUUAAAAUUAAUAAUUAUUUUCAAAACAAUUUGAAAAUAAAAAAAAUUAAUUUUAAAAAGGAAUGUUUUAAGCAAGUUACCAAAUGGCCACUGAAUCCAAUGCCAAAAGCUUCUAUUUCUAAUUUGUGGAAGACGAGAAGUCAAUAGUCAAUUUCCAAAAAAUUAAAAAAAAAAUAAAGGGAAAAUAAAAGAUCUGUGAAUGUCCAUUGUCCAAAGUUUGUGGGAAAAAAAUGAUAUAAGAAAUAAAGAAAAUGAUAUUAAAUUACUUAAAGAAGCUAGACUAGAAUAUAGUUGAAUUUAAAACAAUUUAAAAACACUAUUUUAAUAGUUUUUAAAUUAAAAAUAAUUUAAAAAAUAAUUAUUACUAAACUCCCAAAAACCUUUAAAACAACAAAGUAACCUUUCACAUGUGUUUGAGUUAAUUAAUUUUAAAUAAAAUAAAACAAACUUUUAAAAAGGAAUGUUUUAAGCAAGUUACCAAAUUGCCACUGAAUCCAAUGCCAAAAGCUUCUCUUUCUAAUGUAGAAGGCGAGAAGUCAAUAGUCAAUUUCCAAAAAAUUAAAACAAAAUAAAAGGAAAAUAAAAAAUCUAUGUAGGUCUAUUGUCCAAAGAUUGUGGGAAAAUAAAAAAUCUAUGUAACGUGCGUGGAAGAUUUAAAGAAUGUCCAAUUAAUUAUUGUAUAAACGUUGGUUUUUUCCUUCUCAACGUAAUUAAUUAGAGAUGAUUUUUCUAAUUACUUGUUUACUAAAUUCAUAGCACAAAUCAUGCAAUCUUGCAGAGAAAUUUGUUAAGUAAAAAUAAGAUAAGCAAAUAAAAAAAAUACGAGUUUACAAUAAAUAAUAUAACGUUAUUUAAUUUAAACUUAUCUCUAAAAAAACAAUGCAGGACCUUACAAAGCAUGAGAUUGAAGAUGAGUUAUAAACAAAUCAUAACCACAGCAAGAUGGAGAGUUGAGGGAUUCUAUGAUAAUUAACUUUGAAUAUAUUUGCAUGGGGAAGAACGUAUGAUCCAAAUGAUAACCUCUUUAUGUAGUUCGCUCCCUCUGGGCUUAGAUGCCAUUAAGACUACGGAAAUGCUUUGUCUAUUUUUCAGCUUCUUUUCAUGUUCUUAGGACAAACCUUCAACAUAUUUGUUACAAGUCUCAUAUUCGCUGAAGCUUUUAUCGUCUUCCUCGACGCAUCUGAUAUUUUUUCCAUCUUUUUUCUUUUCUCGUGUUGGAUAACUAAGUCUGGCAUGGUUUUAUUGUGAGACUGAUAAUAACUAGAAGGCCAUUCCAAUGCCACAUUGGACCACCUGAUAUGAUCAUAGCUAGCAAAAUGAGCAAACCUGAUACCAAAUAUAGCAACUGAUCAUAAGAGCUCACAAAGGGUACUGUCAUUUUCACUUUUCACAUUGCUUGAUGCAUCUGUUCUACUAUCUUCUUCAAACUAGACAAGAAAAAAACUACAAGCACAUAUAAGUAAGGGGACAUUUGAUUUUCUUCUCCAGAAAUGAUUACAGAGAAAAUAGUUGUAGCCUUGUUGGCUCCACGGAAUAGCAGGUGAUUAUCCACAGCAUUUUUGAGUCGAACUUCACAUGUAAACUUCAUAACCUUAGUGUAGGAAGCAAUUCAGCUUUACUUCACAGUUUCUAUUCAAGUUGAUCUGAACUUCAACUUUAUGACCCUAAGAACGCAUCGACCUUGGCAUUUGUUCCCCUUGACAAAAACUUCAUGCAAAUGGGAGGUUUUACUCCUACUAGAGCAAGUAUCGCACUAGGCAAAGUCCAUAUCCCAUCCCCGCAAAUCAAACCAGAAGCCACUGCUGGCCCAAAAGCAUCUGCCUUUGCCUUGUCAAUCUUUUCCCAGAUAAAUAGAAUCAAGCUUCCCACACACAUGUCGAUGGCAAAGUAUGGGCCAAUAUAGAACGGUAUAGCCAUCGCCAUUGGAUUGGGAAUGAACCUGGCCCAUUUCUUACCCAAAGCAUCCUUAAUUAAAUUUAUCAGAAUAGCUGCACCGAAGAACCCAUAACAAAGAUAGAGGCAAUUCUUUGGUAGAGACGAGAAUCCGUCUACCCCCAAUAUAGCCAUGUUUCGAUAUACAGUAGCAUAAGGAGCAGGGUAUUGACUUCCAGGAGUCCCCAGAUCCUUGAAGGCCUUGAAAAACAGCCAAAAGACACAAGGUGAAAUAAUGCAACCCAUUGCAGUGCCAAUUAGUUGGCUCACAAACAUGGACCGAGGUGAAGAAAGGGUCAAAUAACCAGUCUUGAAAUCUUGAGAUAGGUCAGAGGCUGUGGAGACAAUAUUCAUCAUGACUCCACAGGCCGCUAGUCCUGCAAGAACUCCACCAUGAGAGGCACCAGCCCAUGCCCCAAUUACAAAAAUUGCAAGCUUCCCAUAG